rnacentral:rRNA from 1 species
CCUACGGGGGGCUGCAGUGGGGAAUAUUGGACAAUGGGCGCAAGCCCGAUCCAGCCAUGCCGCGUGAGUGAUGAAGGUCUUCGGAUCGUAAAGCUCUGUGGGAAGGGAAGAAAAAAGUAUACCUCAUACGUAUGCUCUUGACGGUACCUUCUUAGCAAGCACCGGCUAACUCUGUGCCAGCAGCCGCGGUAAUACAGAGGGUGCAAACGUUGCUCGGAAUUAUUGGGCGUAGGGCGGACGUAGGCGGUGUGAAAGCCCUCGGCUUAACCGAGGAAGUGCAUCCGAAACUGCCAGGCUUGAGUAUGGAAGAGGGGCUCGGAAUUCCCGGUGUAGAGGUGAAAUUCGUAGAUAUCGGGAGGAACACCAGUGGCGAAGGCGGAGACCUGGGCCAAUACUGACGCUGAGGUGCGAAAGCGUGGGGAGCAAACAGGAUUAGAUACCCCGGUAGUC